AUUGAUUGUAGUGAUGGCUGUACAACUCUGAUGCAUAUCCCCAAAUGUCGCUGAGGGGGGUCAGAAGCCAGAACUCAUGCAAGAUGACAUGCUUCCAUUGUGACCUCCACAGCUAGGUGGAGCCAACAGUUGUGUGGGGCAGUAGACUUAUCCAACUCACUGGACUCAGAGACAGUGAGAGCUAACAAGCAAGCGUCUCCAGAAUGAAGCACACGAGUUCAAGGGACUCUGCUGUUGCGAAACAGGAGUGGGCGAGUGGGCUGGUGGUGUGCUGAGGGCGUUCUGUGAAGCGGAAGCCUUGUGUAUCCUUUGGAGGAAAGGAGCAUCAUGAGUCAAAGGGAAAUAUUUCAAAUUAAGAGACUAUGAGGAGAAACUAGACAAUUUAAGGAGUCCAUGGGAAGAAAGUCCUCCAGACUGUGCAGUGCUGUGCUUUUGAUCAAUCACAAGAAAGACAAUGGAUUCCAUCUUGGACAGAAAAAGCACCAAAGCACUAACGUCCACAAGGGCAGUGACUUUUCUUUUGUUCUAUUUUGCUGUUGUUGGUUAAUGUUCAAAUUACUGAUUUUUUUUUUUUUUUGGUCUCGGCUUAGAGAAGAAAAUGUCACAAGACCGUCAACUUCUGAUCCUGCUGUUUAUAUUGGCACAGAUGUGUGUAGGGACGCCAUCACCAGCUUAAUUUUUUGUUUUUGGUGACCUUGUGGGGGGGGUCUUCAGUUUCCUCCAGUUGAUAAGCAAGAAAAGAGGAUGAGGAUGAUUAAGGAAGCAGUUUUCUACCCAACCUUCUAAAUGUCCACAUUUCUGUUCAUUUUCCUUUGGCCAGAACUCGGUCGCAGAACCGCAAACCAACUGCAAGAAUGGCUAGAAACUAAAAACUUCUGCAUCUGAGGAUGGGAAAGAGUCUGGAGGGCUUAGUCUGCCACCUGACGUAUUGAUACGCAAUUAAAGAAGAUUUCUUUGUAUCAGACAGGGUUAUAGAGGAUACUUGGUACAAGAUUGUUAUGUGGGCAUCAGAUCAAGGCUAAAGCUUACUCUAUAUUUGAGUCUGCAUUAACUGGACAGCAGUGGAAACCUCUUUGGGCAGAAUGGCACCAGGUCUACAGUGCAGGAAGAACCAGCUUCUAUUUCCUUAGGUCAGAUGCUAAGGGAGUGAUAAUACUUUUAUGAUUGUUUGAUAUUUCCACGACAACAGAGUCUUUCCUGAUAAAUCCCUGGGGUCAUAAAACAGCCAUUUCUUUGCCUAAGCUGCUGUAAGUUGAUAUAAUUCCCCUUGACAUGUUUUAGUUUUCCCACUUAAGGUUAGAUCAACAAUAUAGCUCUUGUUAUGUCCUUACUCUCAGACUCGUUGAGUGUCUAUUAUGAAAACACAGUCCCAGUGGUUUGGGACUUUAGCUUUAAAUAAUAUGGUGGCUUUUACAGAACAAGAAAGCAUCAGUUCAUGAGAAAUUCAUUGGAGAGCAAUAAUUUGUAUGUUCAAUAAAAUGUCCUAAAAUAAUAGCCCACAAUAACACCAGUCUGUUUCCCUUUUGUGUAAUCAACUCCAGGAAAGGGUGGACUAUGUGUGGAUCAAUGCUGAGGGGAAGCUCUCCAGUCUGACUAUCUACGGUUUGGGAUGCCAAGAGAACUGAAGCCUUCGUGCUUUGGUACUAUUGUGGUCUACACAAGGCGGCCAGUGACUCUGACUUCACAAUUUGCUCUAUUAUUUUCCAGCUCAGGUGAUGGUUAAAGCCCAUAAUGGUGGGCCAAAGGCACAGAGGCAGGAACAACUGAAGAGAGCCACUUCUUGAUCUGGGUGCUCUCUUUGGUCAGAGUUACCACUCUGAAGAAUGGGGACUUGUCUGAGACUACUACUCUGUCAGAAGGCCUCAACUCUGGGCCAAGCAUUGGAUCAUGGACAGCAGGAGUGAGAGGCUCAGUGCUCCAGUUCUACGCUAAGAUUUUCUGGCUUGCAAAUCUCUUGGCCUGCACAUUGGGAAGGUCUGUGUGGGUGAGUCUGAAUGACUGGGUGAUUACGUAUUAGCAAGCUCCCUUGAUCAUGGGGCAUAUUAAAAGCCCCAUGGUCAAUAAUAUUGGUGAUAUUUUCAAUUCUGUCUAUGUGACUCCCGAGUAUCUCUCUGAUUUGGUGUUAGCGUUCAUGUGAAGCAGGAAAAAGGUAUUAUUUAUUAGCACUCUAGAACUCCAUCAACUAUGUUCAUUUUGCUGUAUAAAUUUCCUUUGCCUUUAUAGGAGACCGGCUUCCUUGCUUUAUAGUUAUGCCCGAUACGGUAAAAAGUAAGGAGUCACGAGAGAAGAAAUCCUCCUUGGUCCUAUCUUUUUACUUAAUUAACUUUAAAAAUUUCCCUUAAAAAAUAUAGGGGGAAGGUAGCAGGCCCUUUCCUGCUCGCAGAACCAGGUAUGAGCAACUCUACCUGCCUUGUGCAGAAGAGGGCGAUGCUUUUCUCGAAUUGAGAUGAGAACCAAACCACCUUGUUACAUUUAAAAAAUUAUCUCCCUAGUCCCCACCCCACACACCCACCCAACACACACACACAGUGUGAGAGACAGAGAGACAGAGAGACAGAGAACAUUCACUGCACUGAUUUUCACUACUGAGUUUUACGGAUCCUCGGGCUUCUAUUUCCCCAGAGCUGGGAUUGAAGGCAGACACCAUUGCACUUGGCUUUUCUGUGGGUUCUAGGAAACGAACUCAGGUUAUCCUGCUUGUGCAGUGAGCAUUUUGUGGGCUGAGCCAUCUUAUGUUUUAAGCCUGUAAAGGGUGGGAACAUGUUGUCCUAAUGAGUACAUGUUCUUAGGUGAUCACUGCUUGCUGUCUUUGCUCAGUGGGCUGGGGUUGGUGAAAAUCUUCAGUGUGGGAUUUUGCAGAAGGGCGGAAGAAUUGGAGGGCUAACGCCAUACGUGGCUGAGCUCUGGGGUGGUCUGCUUGUCUCCCUGGUCUCUGUGAGUUCUUCUGAUCCUGCAUAAAGAAAACACUCAGUGAACUUGCCUUUGUGGGUAGGGCUGGGAGAACAAGGCCCUCAUUCAGGCUGGGUACUGACCUCUGUUCCCUGGCUGUGAUGUUUGUAUGUGAGAAACAUAUCCACGUCCAUCAAGUUGCACUGGGCUCUGUUGAUUCUAUUUGCAGAAUUUUGCAGCUGAGCUGAGUCUCUGGCUCCCAUAGACACAUAGAGCAGAAGGUUCUUUCAGUUUCCCCCACAGACUCCCAGAUGCUUCUAUCAAGUAUCAGGAUAGCAUCAGUGGCUUCAGCAUCUCUCAGUCCUUUCAGCCAGGGCUGAUCUGAACCAGUACAAAGUAUAGUGCAGCCCAGGCCCAUUUUAACCUGACAGUGGUCUCUUAACCAGGCCUCUUCCUUUGAUGGCCUUGAAAGUUCCUUCUUACCCAGCCCUAACUAAUCUUCACUUGGGCUUUCUAUAACUACCAUUACAGUUUUGCUUCUCUGGCUUCUUCUCUCUCUAGCCAUUGGGCUUGUUUUGUGUAUCAGCGGUUUCUGAUCUCCUUCCUCAUUGU